CGCGCAGGCGGCUAUUUUUGUCAGGCGUGAAAGCCCCGGGCUUAACCUGGGAACUGCGCUUGAGACGGGAUGGCUAGAGAUCGGGAGAGGAGAGUGGAAUUCCCAGUGUAGAGGUGAAAUUCGUAGAUAUUGGGAAGAACACCGGUGGCGAAGGCGGCUCUCUGGACCGACACUGACGCUGAGGCGCGAAAGCGUGGGAGCAAACA
rnacentral:rRNA from 1 species